AACCUUCUUUCUUGGCGCUGCUAUCGUUUUAAAGAUAGAAGUGUAUGUAAUAGAAGGAAAAUAAUGCCCAUGUAGGGUAUUCGGAUCUCCUUCGGUGCCACACCCUGAAUUUUGUGUGGUGUCAUCCUCUGGGUUCGAGACAUUC
rnacentral:snoRNA from 1 species